GACGAACGCUGGCGGCGUGCUUAACACAUGCAAGUCGAACGGAAAGGCCCCUUUGGGGGUACUCGAGUGGCGACCGGGUGAGUAACACGUGAGUAACCUGCCCUUGCCUUUGGGACAACGUUAGGAAACUGGGGCCAAUACCGGAUAGGAAUCCUUUCUGCAUGGUGGGGGUUGGAAAGUUUCGGCGGUUUUGGAUGGACUCGCGACUUAUCUGCUUGUUGGUGGGGUAGUGGCUUACCAAGGCGUUGGCGGGUAGCCGGCCUGCGGGGGCGACCGGCCACAUUGAGACUGAGAUGCGGCCCAGGCACCUACGGGAGGCAGCAGUGGGAAAUCUUGCACGAUGGGCGGAGGCCUGAUGCAGCAACGCCGCGUGCGGGAUGACGGCCUUCGGGUUGAAAACCGCUUUCAGCAGGGGCGAAGCUUGUGGUGACGGUACCUGCAGAAGAAGCACCGGCUAACUACGUG
rnacentral:rRNA from 1 species